GUAGCUCAGUGGUAGAGAACAUGCCUUGCAAGCAUGAGGCCCUGGGUUCGAUUCCUCAGC
rnacentral:tRNA from 1 species